UUAUCUCUUCUUCUUCAUUAGAUCUCAAAGCAAUUGAAGCUUUCUCUUUUUUUUUUCCUUUAUUCUUUUGUCCAUCCUGACCACGGUCAAAUAAUCUCCCUCACCAACCACCACACAACAUCUUUAUCUUAUAGAUCUUUUUUUAAUCAGAGUCUUGCAGAAUCCAUUAAACCCGACAAAAUGGUCUCUCCUUCCAUUUUGAUCUGUUACCUUCGUAAAAGUCCUGAUUGCUGCUAAAAUCUACGGUGGAUACUCCGGCUCAGUCAGCUUCGGCAUACCGUGAGAUUCUCAUGGAUCAUAACCCUUGCUAACCGGUCAUCUUUAACGUUCAACAAUUGGAUUACAUCAUUUUAAAUGUAACUGAAAAAUAUUGGCUUGAGACUCCAAAAGAUGAGAACUUGAAAUUUAUGUAUUCUUCUCUCUUAACUCUAGAACUUAAGCUUUUUAAGAAGUUUAUAACAUCGUAUAUUGUUGUUCGUUAAAUUUGUGUAUAUGAUUUAUUUAAAUUAUUUUUUGUAAGUGUGCUAAAUUUUUUAAAUUUGAAAAAAAUUCUAUUUUAUAAAUUAA